UACGUAGAGAGCAAGCGUUGUCCGGAAUUACUGGGCGUAAAGAGUACGUAGGCGGCUGUUUAAGUCAAGUGUGAAAGGCGCCGGCUCAACCGGCGGAAUGCACUUGAAACUGAACAGCUUGAGUGCAGGAGAGGAGAGCGGAAUUCCUGGUGUAGCGGUGGAAUGCGUAGAUAUCAGGAAGAACACCAGUGGCGAAGGCGGCUCUCUGGUCUGCAACUGACGCUGAGGUACGAAAGCUGGGGGAGCAAACGGG
rnacentral:rRNA from 1 species